GAUGAACGCUGGCGGCGUGCCUAAUACAUGCAAGUCGAGCGAACGGACGAGAAGCUUGCUUCUCUGAUGUUAGCGGCGGACGGGUGAGUACCACGUGGAUAACCGACCUAUAAGACUGGGAUAACUUCGGGAAACCGGAGCUAAUACCGGAUAAUAUUUUGAACCGCAUGGUUCAAAAGUGAAAGACGGUCUUGCUGUCACUUAUAGAUGGAUCCGCGCUGCAUUAGCUAGUUGGUAAGGUAACGGCUUACCAAGGCAACGAUGCAUAGCCGACCUGAGAGGGUGAUCGGCCACACUGGAACUGAGACACGGUCCAGACUCCUACGGGAGGCAGCAGUAGGGAAUCUUCCGCAAUGGGCGAAAGCCUGACGGAGCAACGCCGCGUGAGUGAUGAAGGUCUUCGGAUCGUAAAACUCUGUUAUUAGGGAAGAACAUAUGUGUAAGUAACUGUGCACAUCUUGACGGUACCUAAUCAGAAAGCCACGGCUAACUACGUG
rnacentral:rRNA from 1 species